UGAACUAGUAUUAAUGGUAACAUUUAUUUAUUGUAUGAAAUUUAAAAUUGCUCUUUUGGCUUUCCUAAUCUUUCAACCUAAAUCGAGGUGCUAGAGCUAGAUAGAAAGAGUCUCAUGGAGGUUCAGCAGUUGAAGCUCGCGGCUGAAGGCUGAUGGAAGGAUAUUUAUUUGAAGGAACAAAGCACGCGCAGUUAGUGCUGAGCUGACGCGACGACCUAUAAACUCGAUAUGCUUACAGUUGCAGUGGUGCUUCACCGCUCGGCGCUCGCUAUCAGAAAUUUGAUACCAUACCAGGUUCUCCUUAUUCACUUUCUUCUGUCGCUCACAUCAUAUUUUGAAUUGUUUAUAGAAAUUUUGUACACCUUACUAUCUAUUUGUUGAUAUAAACUUCCUGUUUAAUUACUGUACUUGUUUGCUAUGACUAUUAUGAUUAUCCUUCAUGUAUAAUUGUGCGAUUAGAAACUUAUGCCAUGUAAUUAUAAUCAAAUUGUUAUUAUGAACUCGAUGCUAAUUACAUAUAGAGAAAAUAAAUAUAGGAACUUAUUAACACUUUGAAAACCCAAACCAAAGUAGAUAAGCAAUGUAGUCAAACAUUAGGAUCGUAAGGCCGGUGAGAAAUAUUGUAACAUGACUCGUACGAUCCUACUGGAGGGAAAAAUUGUAAUUAUAUAUACACACACAUAAGCAUAAAAUUUAUCAUAUAUAAACUAAAUAAUCUCUAUUUUUAUCAUGACAGUAAAUUAAGUUAAUUAAAAAUGCAUCGUUUAAAAAAAAUUAAAAAUUCAUAACCAUUGCAGUUAAGCUUGAAAUAGAUUGAAAACAGGGGAGGAUGAAAGGACGGCGUCGCAGAGAGAUGGGAGAAUGGUGUUGUACUCGCAGGGAGAUGGAAGAUAGGGUUUCUGUUUGAAGUAAGGAGGGAUGAAGAGUGAAGGGAAGGACUGUUUUCAGCAAGGCCCAAUGCGAAGCAGCUGACCUAACACAAAACACGUUACAAUCCUACUCCUAAUUCGCUAUAUCGACCACAAAGUGCACUUCUAGUGAACUUGUCUGAAUUGCAGCACACGAUCCUACGUGCUGGCACUCAAUCUUGAUUACCAUGGCAGUAGGUGCUAGUACUACCAGUAGUAGUGUAGUUUGUGUUCUCAGUGUUGGUAAGCUCCUAUUUUGCUCUACAUAUGAUUCUUUAGCUUCACAAUUUAAAGAUUAUAGCAUCUCAAUUUAUUCUCCAUGUGACUUGCAUAAUGUUUGUGUUCUAGUUCUAGGGGUAGCAUUUUAAUUAGAUGCCUCUCUUGAUUGAAUAAUCUCAUGCAAAUAUUCAUUUUUGUAAACUGAAGUGGUAAAAUGAAGAUAAGUUGGUUUACGCUUAAGUUAUCAAUGAAAAUCUUUCCUAAACAAUCAACAGAUGAAUUAAUUGAGUUAACUUGAUCAAAUCGACGAUUCAAAUUGCAUCAGUUAAUGGUUAAGCUAACUCCGACAUUUAUCUAUGUUUGUAUCCAUCUUUAUUCUCACUGUGUGUGUUUGAUUCUUGUAAUUUCAAUUAUGCUCAUUCUGUGUUCAUUCAUUACAUCAAUUACAUAUUAUAUUUUUCACAUUCAUACAUUGCAUAUAAUUGCAUCUGGUAUUAGGAAUUCUAUUAUUUUUAAUCAUUGCAAAUUCUUAUGUUAUCCCACUUCUUUGGUCAUAAUUGGAUAAAAUUUGUGUAAUUCGUAAGAAUAUAAUCUCAAUAGAGAUGAUAAUCAACUUGGUGCGACCAAUAGAGUUUAUAUAGGUUUGCAUAUUGCAUGAAAAUUGCAUUAUUCAUAACAUUAAUCUACCGGAAGUCCUAUUCAUCAUUAGUUUUUAUAUACUUUUAUUUAUUUGGAUUUGGUAUAUAAUUAUCUUAUGCAUAUGAAUUGUAACUAGUAUUCACUAGAUUCAAAUAAUGAAGUAAUAUUUAGUGUAAUAAUCGAUUUCGUUGAUGUUGAUGAUAUGAAGGUGAAAGUGAAAAAACAAAAUGUAAAAUAUUCAAAAGCAACUAUAAAAAAUAGAUAAAUAUAGACUUAUGAAUUAACACCAUACAUGUGAAAUUGCACUGGAACAAAAAAUAAGGCUCUUAAUUCAACAUAGAUUGUAUACUUUUUCAUUAACAAAAACUCAAAUACAAAUUAACCACAACAAUAUUUAACAUAAUUCAUUGAAAAAAUUUCAAAUAGCUUUAGACGGAAGCUUAAUACACGGGAGGCGGGGGUGAGUUGUAGAGGUAGGGAUG
rnacentral:lncRNA from 1 species